rnacentral:rRNA from 1 species
UACGUAGGGGGCGAGCGUUGUCCGGAGUACUGGCGUAAAGACGCACGCAGGCGGUCUGCUAAGUUUGGGAGUGCAGUUGGUGGCUUAACUGCCAAAGUGCUUCGAAAACUGACAGACUUGAGGGCUUCAGAGGGACACGGAAUUCCGGGGUGGAGUGGUGAAAUGCGUAGAGAUCCGGAGGAACACCAAAGGCGAAGGCAGUGUCCUGGG